rnacentral:siRNA from 1 species
CAACUUUGAGAAUGUCUUGGCUGC